GUUUGAUUCUGGCUCAGAACGAACGCUGGCGGCAGGCUUAACACAUGCAAGUCGAGCGGAAACGAUGGGAGCUUGCUCCCAGGCGUCGAGCGGCGGACGGGUGAGUAACGCGUGGGAACGUGCCCUUCUCUGCGGAAUAGCCACUGGAAACGGUGAGUAAUACCCUAUGUGCCCUUCGGGGGAAAGAUUUAUCGCCUUUGGAUCGGCCCGCGUAAGAUUAGAUAGUUGGUGGGGUAAUGGCCUACCAAGCCUACGAUCUAUAGCUGGUUUUAGAGGAUGAUCAGCCACACUGGGACUGAGACACGGCCCAGACUCCUACGG
rnacentral:rRNA from 1 species